rnacentral:rRNA from 1 species
UACGAAGGGGGCUAGCGUUGUUCGGAAUUACUGGGCGUAAAGGGCUCGUAGGCGGCCCACUAAGUCAGACGUGAAAUCCCUCGGCUUAACCGGGGAACUGCGUCUGAUACUGGAGGGCUUGAGUUCGGGAGAGGGAUGCGGAAUUCCAGGUGUAGCGGUGAAAUGCGUAGAUAUCUGGAGGAACACCGGUGGCGAAGGCGGCAUCCUGGACCGACACUGACGCUGAGGAGCGAAAGCCAGGGGAGCAAACGGG